CGGCACCGCCUUUGAACCUAUGGGUCUUUUCUGUGACCUCUGAGGGAUAGCUACAGUGCUAAAGCAAACUCAAGCUUGUUCAUAACUGGGGCUUCCUGGCAACACAUCCUGGCUGCUCUUUUAAAAGCAAGCUACAUUU